ensembl:lncRNA
CGUGAUUUUCGCUUAAUUGGAGGACUUGCGAAGAGAAAACGGAUGUUUUUAGGGUGAAAUGGGGGAUUCUCGAAGAGAAAAUAUGUGAUUUUUUCUUUAAUGGGGGAUUUGCAAAAAGAAAACGUGAUUUUCGCAUAAAUAUGGGAUUUGUGUAGAGAAAACACGUGAUUUUUGCUUAAGUGGGGGAUUCGCGAAGUGAAGAACGAGUGAUUUUCGGGUUGAAUGGAGGUUUCUCGAAGAGAAAACGUGUGAUUUUCGCUUAAAUGGAGGAUUUGCAAAUUGAAAAUGUGCCAUUUUCGGGUUAAAUGAGGUUUGUGAAAAGAAAACAUGUGUUUUCCACAUAAAUGGGGGAUUUGCGAAGAGAAAAC